CCUACGGGUGGCAGCAGUGGGGAAUAUUGGGCAAUGGGCGCAAGCCUGACCCAGCAACGCCGCGUGAAGGAAGAAGGCUCUCUGGUUGUAAACCUCUUUUCUGAGGGACGAAGAAAGUGACGGUACUUCAGGUAUAAGCCACGGCUAACUACGUGCCAGCAGUCGCGGCAAUACGUAGGCGGCAAUCGUUAUCCGGAUUGAUUGGGUGUAAAGGGCGUGUAGGCGGGAAAGCAAGUCAGAUGUGAAAACUCAGGGCUCAACCCUGAGUCUGCAGUUGAAACUGGUUUACUUGAGUGCUUGAGAGGCAAGCGGAAUGCCGUGUGUAGCGGUGAAAUGCGUAGAUAUAAGGAGGAACACCAGUGGCGAAGGCGGAUUGCUGGACAAUAACUGACGCUGAGGCGCGAAAGCGUGGGGAGCAAACAGGAUUAGAUACCCGGGUAGUC
rnacentral:rRNA from 1 species